AAAUGGGAAAACUUAAAGAACGCUACGGC
rnacentral:piRNA from 1 species